rnacentral:rRNA from 1 species
UACAGAGGUCUCAAGCGUUGUUCGGAUUUAUUGGGCGUAAAGAGCUCGUAGGCGGCUCGGUAAGUCGGGUGUGAAACCUCCAGGCUCAACCUGGAGACGCCACCUGAUACUGCUGUGGCUAGAGUCCGGUAGGGGAGUGUGGAACUCCUGGUGUAGCGGUGAAAUGCGCAGAUAUCAGGAAGAACACCAGCGGCGAAGGCGGCACUCUGGGCCGGAACUGACGCUGAGGAGCGAAAGCGUGGGUAGCAAACAGG